CGCCAAUCGGAAUCUGGGAAAUCUACUAGCGGUACACCCAGACUAUAAAUUUGGGCCAAUCACUGCUCCCCGUGGGCUCCACGCCCCACUCCGAGCCAUUCGGAACCUCCGCUCCCAGCGCCUGGCCUCUCCGCGCAUGCGCCUGCGAUCCCACUCACCCAACGCUAAACCCCUUGGCCUGUAGCCAGGCGCGGACCUCCGCGGCGUCGGAGCUCCGGCUGAGCUGCGGCUCCGGUGCGCGGGGUCCCGGGGCUACGCGGCUGGGAACCGAGCGGCCCUGGGCCAGGCGCGCCUGCAGCUCCUCGUUCACACUCAGCAUCUGGGAGAAUUUCUCUGCAGGCGAGGAGCCGGGAGGGAUGCAGCAAAGAUGCUUUGGCACAGUAAUGGAAAGGCCAGGGGAGUGAGGAAGCGGCGUUGGGGGACUGGGUCCAGGCACUGAAUGUCGCUGUCCCUCUGCCCUGCUUGUGUGCAGCUGAUGGGAGCCCAAGUUCAGCCACGGCGUUGAGCUUCACCAGCCCCUGUUUCUGGGGCUUCCUGCGCUUCCCCCAGACACUGCCAUCCCCCCGUUUCCUUUGUAAGCACUCAAGGCUCAGGGAAGUGAGUGGAAAGCUAGAGGGGGUCCCAAGCCCAAGCUUUGGAAGCCCAGGGGGUGCAGGGGCUGGGGGGGGUUCUGCGACACUAGGCAGCUGAGGGGCCUCAGCCUGAAUCAGGCCUACCUGUGCAGGGGAGAGGGGGGGUCUUCAGGGCUGCGGCACCCCCUGUGUGGGACUGGCAGCUGCCAGCAUGCUGUCCUUGCAGAGCCCUCUGCCGGGGCCCCCCAGCCAGACCCCCAUUCACCUCUCGUUCCUUCCCGUCUCAGGUUGGCUCCCCUCUGAUCUGCCCCUUUGCUGGCCCAAGGGACCCUAGACUUCUGGCUCUGUCUUCUUCUUCCUCCCAGAACCCAAGACCCUGAGUCCCCAUAGUGUGGCAGAACCACGAGUUUGGAUCCCUGGUUUUUCUUUCCCAGGAGUCCAGGUCUCAAGCUUCAGUUUCCUCUUCCUUUCAGCUCCAAGUCUGGAGGGACUUGGAGUAUUGCUAUACAAAGCCUUUGGGAAACUGGAAGUCCCACUUCCCAGCUUCCCUGCCAGUGGCCCAGAGGCACUGUCAGGUCCCAACUCUACCAGCAACUUGACCCCAAGCCCUUGAAGCCCCAGCCUGCUCCUCCGAAUCCCCAGUGCCAAAUCUGAGUUUUUCAAAACACAAACAUCCAUCCCCAGCCUCGCCCUCUGACACCAGGACUCUGUCCCCGCAGGAACCCAGGCAUGACGCGCCUUCCAGACUGUGCCCCUCGAGGACCCGGUCCAGCCUCCAGGACCACCCACUCCCUGCCCCAGGGACCUGCCCCCCCACCUUGUCC
rnacentral:lncRNA from 1 species